UACAAGGUGGAUUCCUACCCUAAUGGAGUUGAUAGAUCCCUGCUACGGAGGUCAGGCCUCCCCUUUAUACAGGCCCUGAUCCUCUUCCCCCCUAAAACUCACACUUGGCGGGAACGGUUGCCACAACGGCUAAUUUAAAAGGGGACAAGACUGCGGCCUACCAUGACAAAGGUGGUCUUCGCCUACAAAAGCUCUUCAACAUGACAUGCAAGUGGUCUCGGGGGUGAAUUUUGUCCUUCCUAGCCCUCAUCCUUGGACAUCUUGCAUCGAUUAGCAAACCUUUGGGGUUUGCUUUGGGAACCCACGGGCUGGUUCCACUCGCUUAACAGCAAGGGGAAAGCUUCUCUAUCCAUGCACACGGGCACCGACACUGGCACCAUCAUGUGUGGCUCGCGUCACCCACGUGACGAUGCAGGGUCACACAACCCUGCCAGGCUGCCCUUGUUAAGUAUGCCCCGCAAAGGUGGCAUCUAGAGGCGGCUUCUCGAUGUGGACCGCAGAGGGAACGUCGUCGAGGGAAAC
rnacentral:lncRNA from 1 species